rnacentral:rRNA from 1 species
GGGGGGGGGGGGGGGGGGGCGGGGCGGGGGCGGGGCGGGCGGGGGGGCCCGGCGGGUGUGGGGGGCGCGAGGGGCGAACGGGUGAGUGACACGUGAGGAACCUGCCCUGGGCGUUGGGGUAACUUCAGGCGACGGGGGCUCAUACCGGAUAGGAGCUACUGCUGCAUGGGGGGGGUUGGAAAGUUCCGGCGGUUGGGGAUGGACUCGCGGCUUAUCAGCUUGUUGGGGGGGUCGUGGCUUACCAAGGCUUUGACGGGUAUCCGGCCUGAGAGGGUGACCGGCCACAUUGGGACUGAGAUCCGGCCCAGACUCCUACGGGAGGCAGCAGUGGGGAAUAGUGCACAAUGGGCGGAAGCCUGAUGCAGCAACGCCGCGUGCGGGAUGACGGCCUUCGGGUUGUAAACCGCUUUCGCCUGUGACGAAGCGUGAGUGACGGUAAUGGGUAAAGAAGCACCGGCUAACUACGUG